rnacentral:rRNA from 1 species
UAACUUGAGAGUUUGAUCCUGGCUCAGGACGAACGCUGGCGGCAUGCCUAAUACAUGCAAGUCGAACGAGAAAGUUCCUUCGGGGACGAUUAAAGUGGCGCACGGGUGAGUAACGCGUAGACAAUCUGCCCUUCAGUCUGGGACAACUUUUCGAAAGGAGAGCUAAUACCGGAUGACAAUAUAACACAUAAGUGUCAUAUUUGAAAGCUCCGGCGCUGAAGGAGGAGUCUGCGUCCCAUUAGCUAGUUGGUAGGGUAAUGGCUUACCAAGGCUACGAUGGGUAGCGGGUUUGAGAGGACGAUCCGCCACACUGGAACUGAGACACGGUCCAGACUCCUACGGGAGGCAGCAGUAGGGAAUAUUGCACAAUGGAGGAAACUCUGAUGCAGCAAUGUCGCGUGAGUGAAGAAGGCC